GUCGGACCGAGAUGACCCCCGCCGGUCCAAAGGGGGGGGGGAAACAGGGCUGAGAGAAGAGCUUGGGGUUGCACAGCUGCACACUGAGCGGGGGAUCGUCCGCUUCCCCCGUCCUGGGCCUCACUCCUCCGACCUCCGUCGGCCGUGUAGUGUACCCGCGGGCGACAGACCCGGGGUUCCUCUGCUGGCUCCAGAGGUAGGUAAGUCUCUUUUCGUGGCGUUAUGGCUGGCUGGCUGGCUGGCUAGAUUCAGGCUUAGUUGAGGCAUUGAGCUCGGAGCUCACACGAAGUGCGUCCAGCCGCCAUGAUGUCCAGGCCCCGCCCCCCCCAAGAAUGGUGACUUUAGUAGUGAGCCAGCCUUCAUCAUAAAUACUUUAUGGUGCAUAUCUGCAGAUGGCCAUCUGGUCAACCUUGCAGACAUUCUAUCAUUCUUACUCUUUAUUUUUUUACUUACUGUGUCUGGCUGGAAAUUCUACAGUCAGUUGUCUGCAUUUGGACCAUCUGUUUGUAGCUUCGUGGACAUGUUUUCUUAGUUAUUAGAUCCUCCAUGUUCAUGGACGGUCAUUUUAUUAAUAAAGAAAACAGAAUUUAUACCUUUUAAAUUCUCUGUGUUUGUUGGCUGUUCAUGAAGCCUCAUCUUUUAUUGUUUGGGUUUAGUGACUAUCUGUCAUAAAUUGAGAAUUUGGUGUAAUAUUAAAAUAUUUCCGAUCACUUGUGGCAUUUACUUAUGUUAAUUAAAGGAAAAUUCCAGGCAGCAUAACAACUUCAUUGGAACCACAAACAAAUGGUUUAACCCCAAAGUCUUGAAAAUGGCACGUUUUAGCUCUACUUGAAACAGAAAGCAUUGGUUCCUGUUUCAAAACUCAGGCUGCAGCAGAUGUUCGUGGGAAGAACUAAUGGGCGCCCAAUUCAAAACUUUGGGUUUAAACUGUUUAAUAGCUUAACCCCUUGAGGUAAGCAGGCACACAGGACCAUUCUCACACCAUAACAACAAAGUUAUGAUGAAUUUGUUAUUGUGCCGGUAUGCCCCUUUAAAUAUAACUUCCUUAAAAGGCAGUAAGUUACAGUAAGUCUUGCUACGUUUCCAG